GGAAGUUUGAUAUAUAUCUUUCUCAGACAAUGAGCUUCAUUGACAUGUGUAUUUCAAGUGUCCUAUACAUAUAGACCCAAUCAACUCCAUAGUCACCACUGUGAAAGUGGACCAUUUGAUCAGAAAAAUGAUCCAAUAUAUAUAAGGUUACAUGAAAGGGUGGCUUAAUUAAGGCUCUCCAUUUUAUUUUAGGCAUGUCAAGCACAGUGAUAUCAAGUUCAAAUUUAACUGUGCUUCAAAUUCAGCAACUGAAAUCUCUCUUAGCAGGUCAAGGUCAACAUAGCUGACAUAAACCUGAUAUGUGGAUCAGAGAUGGUUUUCGUGGAGGACAUGGGCAUAUUCAAGACUCUUUUAAGAGAACAGUUCUCCUUUAUGUCCCAGUCAAGAGAAAGAGGAACCAAGCCCUGUGUGAAAAACUUGGUCCCGAGUCCAUGUGGUCUGAGAAGAGAAUGAAAGUUUUUUGCAAUAAGUUUUGAUGAUGGUCUAUCUUCAGUUGGCCCAUAUCAAAAGAGCUGCUGUUAGAGGAGGAAAGGCUGACAGGGUAACACUCAAAAUUAUUUGAAGUCCAACUCACAUUUGGAACUCACCAGACUUCAGAUUUUAACUCUUCUCCAGAUUAAUUCUCUUGGCCAACUUUUGGGUUCCAUGGAUUUUAUCUAGAUAGCCAGGAUCCCAGUUUCCUGAUCCAUUAAGAUGCGAACAAGAUACACCGAGAGCUUCUUAUAUCACACACUUUCAUAUGAGUCUUCAACUUCAGGCACUGAACUUAUGAUGAGCAACUGGUAAAUCUUGGAUGGUUGGUUUCUGAGAAAGGAGAUUCUCAUAUCUAAGCAAGUCUACAAGGGGAAGUGACUUGCUCAGGUCACUGAGGCCGUGGGAGGCUGAACCAGAGGAGGAACUUACCCUAACGUCUGACCUUGCAGACAGUCUUUUGAAGCCCUUCAAAGCCCUCAAAACCAAGUUUUCACUGAACACUUGUUGGAAUGGUCAGAUCCAGAGCAGUGGUGACUGCAGACCCGGGUAAAGCUGUAGAGUGGUAGGACUGCAGUUAUUGGCAGUGGGGCGUCAGUGUGAACAAGUGCUCAAACCAUGAGCUCAUAUAGGCCAUUUCACAUUCACACCACAGCAAGCACAUGCUGUAACACUCCAUAGACAACCCUAACCUUGACCUUUCAUUUAGUGGGAACUUAGAAGCCCGAAGCUGAUGAUACAGUAAGUCUAGUUCGAAUUUUAAAAAAGCAUAUUUUAUAAGGUCCAGCAAUCUUGAUCCUUGCUAUCUGCUCAAGAUAUUGAAAAGCUGUGUCUUCACAAAUAAACUUGCUAAUGGACUUGGAAAAAACGUGCAUCACUAAGUGAAAGAAGCUCAUCCCAAAGGACCAUGUAUGAUCUGAUUUCAAUUGCAAGAUGUUCUGAAGAAAACAAAACUCACAGAGGCAGGAAGUAGUUGUGCAUGCAGCUGAGAAACAGAGUGCUAGCCUAGCACGUGUAAAACCUUGGGUUCCAUGAUAGUUUUCAUUGUCAGCUUGGUGAUAUUUCAUAAUACUUUGGAAACACAACCAUGGGUGUGUCUACAAGACAAUGAUCCUCAACUGUGUGUCAAGACAUCUUGGGGUGUUGAGUGUCCCUUUCAUGAGGUUGCACUUCAAAUACCAUACACAUCAGAUAUUUAUAAUUCAUAGCAGUAGCAAAAUUACAGUUAUGAAGUAGCAACAAAAAUAAUUUUGUGGUUGGGGUCACCACUGCAUGAGGUACUGUCUCAAAGGGUCUCAGUCUGAGAAGGGUUGAGAAUCACUGCUAUAAGGUAUCUCCAGAAGAGUUUAACAGAGCUGAGAAGACCUGCGCGGAGUGUUGAUGGCACCAGCUCAUGGGUGUGGUCCCCUAGACUGAAUUAAAAGGAGAAAGCAGUCGGGCAUGGUGACGCACACCUUUAAACCCAGCACUUGGGAGGCAGAGGCAGGCAGAUUUUUGAGUUCGAGGCCAGCCUGGUUUACAAUGUGAGUUCCAGGACAGCCAGGGCUAUACAGAGAAACCCUGUUUCGGAAAAAAAAAAAAAAAAAAAAAAAACAAACAAAAAAAAAAAACUGAAAAAAUAAAAUAAAAGGAGAAAGCAAGCUGGCACCAACAUUUGCCUCUAUUUGCUCCUUGACUGGUAGAUAUGUGGCCAGCUGCUUCACACUCCUGAUGCUAUGACUUUUCUGCCAUGAUGGAUGGUACCCUGGAGCUAUGGCCUAAAGGAAACCCAUCCUUCCUUAAGUUGCUAUUGGAGACACUGCCAAAGCAAUGAAAAAAUAACUAACACACACACACACACACACUCUCUCUCGCUCUCUCUCUCUCUCACACACACACACACACACACACACACACACACGCGCGCGCGCAUGAGAGAGAGAGAGAGAGAGAGAGAGAGAGAGACAGUGACAGAGAUGCAGAUAGAGAAAUAAAUGGGUCACAGAUAGAGAAAUAGAUUUUUAUAUUGGCCUUUAAAUCUUACUUUAUUUUUUUUAUUAGAUAUUUUCUUUAUUUACAUUUCAAAUGUUAUCCCCUUUCCUGGUUUACUCUCUGAAACCCUCCUAACCCCUCCUGCCCCUCCCCCUGCUCACCAACCCACCCACUCCCACUUCCUGGCCCUGGCAUUCCCCUAUACUGGGGCAUAGAACCAUCACAGGACCAAGGGCCUCUCCUCCCAUUGAUGACCAACUAGGCCAUCCUCUGUUACAUAUGCAGCUAGAGUCAUGAGUCCCACCAUGUGUUUUCUUUGAUUGGUGGUUUAGUCCCAGGUAACUCUGGGGGUACUGCUUAGUUCAUGUUGUUGUUCCUCGUGUGGGGCUGCAAACCCCUUCAGUUCCUUCUGUACAUUCUCUAGAUCCUUCAUUGGGGACCCUGUGUUCCAUCCCAUGGAUGGCUGUGAGCAUCCACUUCUGUAUUUGCAAGGCACUGGCAGGACCUCUCAGGAGACAGCUAUAUCAGGGUCUUGUCAGUAAGCUCUUGUUCUCAUCUGCAAUAGUGUUUGGGUUUGAUGACUGUAUAUGGAAUAGAUCCCCAGGUGGGGCAGUCUCUGGAUGGUCAUUCCUUCAGUCUCUGCCCCACACUUUGUCUCUGUAACUCCUUCCAUGGGUAUUUUGUUCUCCCUUCUAAGAAGGAUCAAAGUAUCCACACUUUGGUCUUCCUUCUUCUUGAGUUUCAUGUGUUUUGUGAAUUGUAUCUUGGGUUUUAGAAAUCGGUGUUUUAAAGGGAAAUAAAACUAUUUCUUAUGGUUCUAUAAUGGUUACAUUUACCCAACGCACAGGAUACACAGCAGAGUAUGAACUACAGAUCCUGGAUGACAGCAAUACGUUUGUGUACAUUUAUCACUUGGAGAAUGUCUAUCACUCUGGUUGGGUAGAGCAGGGAAGGAAGGACACAGAAAACUCUUCGCCUUCUGGUCAGUUUUCCUGUGAACCUCAAGUUUCUACUAAAUUAUAUUUUUAAAAGAAUGAAUUCAAACAACUGCUCUUCCAAAGGUCUGGUGUUCAAUUCCCAGCAACCACAUGGUAGUUCACAGCCAUCUGUA
rnacentral:lncRNA from 1 species